AGGAUGUUACUGCUAUUUACAAAAUCUGCAAGACAGAGAUGUACUUGUACAAGACUUCAUGAAGUGGUAUGUUUGUGGCCGAACAAGAAAUUCCCUGGAAAGGUUAAAAGAGGGAUUGAAGACGCUUGGUGUGCUUGACGCCAUUGUUGCACAUCCUGUUCUUUUCGCCAAUUAAUUUUGCUGGAGGGAGGAAGUGCUCACAUCUGAACAGUUUUCAGAAUUGUUCAAAAUAUCAUUCAGCACUGCUGGAAGUAAUAAAAGACGUGAGGAACAACGAAUUGUGGGCUAUUGGAGAGAUUACCUACAGGAUGUGGAAGAUGCGGAGUCCAACGUGUCAUUAAGACAGAUUCUAGCAUUCAUUACAGGAGCAGACAAAGAGCCACCUCUUGGUUUUCAACCACAACUGUCUGUUGAGUUCCUGCAUGAGAAUAAUGAAG